ACCUUCAUAGCCCAACUGGUAGAGGCGGUAGGUUUAGAACCUAUUUAGUGUGAGUUCGAAUCUCACUGAAGGUA
rnacentral:tRNA from 1 species